ACUCCUACGGGAGGCAGCAGUAAGGAAUAUUGGUCAAUGGACGCAAGUCUGAACCAGCCAUGCCGCGUGAAGGAUGAAGGUCCUCUGGAUUGUAAACUUCUUUUAUAUGGGGCGAAACAGCGGAUUUCUAUCUGCCUUGACGGUACCAUAUGAAUAAGCACCGGCUAACUCCGUGCCAGCAGCCGCGGUAAUACGGAGGGUGCAAGCGUUAUCCGGAUUCACUGGGUUUAAAGGGUGCGUAGGCGGGCAUGUAAGUCAGUGGUGAAAUCCUGGAGCUUAACUCCAGAACUGCCAUUGAUACUAUAUGUCUUGAAUUUCCUGGAGGUUAGCGGAAUAUGUCAUGUAGCGGUGAAAUGCUUAGAUAUGACAUAGAACACCUAUUGCGAAGGCAGCUGACUACGGGUAGAUUGACGCUGAGGCACGAAAGCGUGGGGAUCAAACAGGAUUAGAUACCCUGGUAGGCUCUG
rnacentral:rRNA from 1 species